CUCAGUUUGAACUGCGCAACAGUCUCUCUGCCUUCUCAUUGGACAGCCGGACGAUGACACGCACUGACAGUUGAUAGCAGGUUGUGUGUGAGGGUGACAGCGGCUAGCAUCACACUUCAGCCGUGAAACUGCGGACGUUAGCCAAUUGAGAGGGAAACGACGGUUGAAUUAAUGUUCAGCAUAGCUCAGGAGCCCGCCAGCUAAAAGGAUAAAACGCUAUUUCUGAGUUCGGCGAGGAUGUCUGUCCCGGCAGGAGAGGGAUGAAGAUGACAACACUGUUAUGGCGAGUUGUGUCAGUGUGGCUAUGUGUAGCUGUAGUCUGUUGGUACCCUAGUUGCUAUGUCGGUUGCACGGAGCCGCACCAAGAGGCCCAGAGGCCCGAGUCCUCACAGGACGUCGGUUCGGAGGAAGAGCCAGGGGAAAGUAUUCAACCUCACAAGGUAGCAUUUGUUGUAGACUCCCUUUUCUAUAUUAACCACACAGGAAACCUGCUGCCAUGCUAGACAUGUAUCAGAUCAACACCUGUUUUUACAAGCGAAUGUCUUAAUAUAUCGGCCAGAAAAAUAUUGACGAUGCUCAUUUAGACCUGUGGGUGUUUGUGACUGAACUGUUUCUGUCAUGGUAUCAGUGAUACAUUUGUGUGUGUGUGUGUUCAUAUCUAGGUCGAGGAAAGCUGGGUGUUACCUGUCCAGUCCCUGCCUGAAAACGAACAGUUGAUAGAGGAUGAUUGGCAGAAAGAGGGGCAGACAGCACAAGAAGUGGACGAUAAACAACAUUCAGAGCAGGCCUUUGAAGCAGAGGAGCCUGCUGUGGAGGUAGAGCUGGAGGCACACAAAGGACUUUCACAACCUGAGCCAGAACCUGAGCAAAUCUCAGAAAAUCAACAUUCAGAAACUUCCAUCACUCAAGACCAGGACUCAGCCCCCCUGCUGCCUUCCCCCGACCCUCUUUCUGUUCCCGCCGCUGGGCUCAGAGACAACCCUGCCAUCCUUGAUAUUCAAGACAACAUCCCAAAUAGGCAAGAUAUUAUUACCUCCAGGCCGUUUUCUUCUUUUUAUAAGAGCUUAUCAGUUCGUUUAAUCUGUCAGCUUUCUGUAAAAAUAGCAACAACAAAAAAAACGCUUGCUUUGCUGUGUCUCAUUAUUUUGUUGUUCCAGAAAAUGUGCUGUGCAUUGCUUUAG
rnacentral:lncRNA from 1 species